GGUCAAGAGCGCCAGCGUCAAGCCCCGGCUCGCUGGCCGGCAACCCUCCUCCGCGGUGGGGUGCUCCGGGUGACGACCAGGCCGCCGUGCAACCACGGCCGGCAAGCGCGGACC
rnacentral:ncRNA from 2 species